CAAAAACAUGUCUUUUUGUUUAUAAAUAUAAGGUCUGGCCUGCCCAAUGAUUUAUUUAAUGGCCGCGGUAUAUUAACUGUGCUAAGGUAGCAUAAUCACUUGUCUUUUAAUUAAAGGCUAGAAUGAAUGGUCGGACGAGGUAUAUACUUUCUUUGAUUUAAAUUGGAUGAAUUUAAUUUUUUAGUUAAAAAGCUAAAAUUUUUUUGAGGGACGAGAAGACCCUAUAGAUCUUUAUAUUUUAUGUUAUUAUAUAUUAUAGUGAAUUAAUUAUUUUAAUAAUUUAAAUUAUUUGGUUGGGGUGACUGUAGAAUAAAAUUAACUUCUAUUAUUUAUAAUUCAUAAAUUAGUGAUUAGUUGAUCCAUUAUUAUUGAUUAAAAGAUUAAGUUACCUUAGGGAUAACAGCGUAAUUUUUUUGGAGAGUUCUUAUCGAUAAAAGAGUUUGCGACCUCGAUGUUGGAUUAAAAUAAGUAUUAGGUGCAGUAACUUAAUUACUAGGUCUGUUCGACCUUUAAUAUUUUACAUGAUCUGAGUU
rnacentral:rRNA from 1 species